rnacentral:rRNA from 1 species
GUGCCUACGGGGGGCAGCAGUGAGGAAUAUUGGUCAAUGGGCGGGAGCCUGAACCAGCCAAGCCGCGUGAAGGAAGAAGGCGCCAGGCGUCGUAAACUUCUUUUGUCGGGGAACAAAGGGCGCCACGUGUGGCGUUGUGAGUGUACCCGAAGAAAAAGCAUCGGCUAACUCCGUGCCAGCAGCCGCGGUAAUACGGAGGAUGCGAGCGUUAUCCGGAUUUAUUGGGUUUAAAGGGGGCGCAGACGGCGAUGCAAGCCAGGAGUGAAAGCCCGGGGCCCAACCCCGG